UUUCUACAGUAAACAGAAUAUCAAAAAACAUAAAAUUCUUGAUUAAAAAAUUGAAAUCAACGGAAAGAGAGAGAGAGUCGAAUUUCAAAAUUGAAAGCGCCCAUGGCGCCUUGCAUUCAUGUAUAUAUAUAAAUUAACAACAAUAAUAAAAUAAAAAAUAAUUAAUUAAUUAAUAAUUGUUAAUAUCAGAGUGUGCAGCGAAAGCAUAUUAUUUAAGAAGUUAGUUGUUACUAAAUAUUGGAGUAUAGGAGAUUAUGAAUUUUGAUGACAAAAUUUGUUUUAGGAGAUAGAUUGUAAUGCCCCAGAUUUUUGGAGAAGAAGAAGGAGAAGGAAAAGGUUUAAUGAGAGCAUAAUAUUAAAAUUUAAUUUUAAAGAUGGUAGUUUUAGGGUGAAUAUUUAUGAUAUGCCUCUAUUUAUCUUUAACCAUUUGUUUUGUCACCUCAUUAUUAUUUCAAUUUUAGUAGCAAAUUAUUUUAGGUGAAAACCAAGUACUUUUUCUAAUUAUGUUGUACUUAUUUUACUUUUGUUCUUCCCACUAUCCUUAUUCUUUUGAAUAAUUAUAAAAAUAAAGAGAAAAAAAUAUUAAUAAUAAAGAAAGCAAAUGGUGGAAGACACCAACUCACCCCAUACCACCCCACCAUCAUUAAACCAACACCAUCAUAUAUCAUCAACUUAUCUCCACCUCAACAACCACAUGCUUUAUCUUCUUUCCAACACAUCAAUCAUAAAUAUCCCCUUCGUCUUGCAUUUCAUUUGAUGACAACCCACCAUCAACCAUUUUAUCCCUUCACCUUCAUCAUAAUUACCCACCAUCAGCCAUGUUAUUCCCUUCUUUUACAACACAUCAAUCAUAAUUACUCACUUCAUCUUCUCUUCCUAUAUAUGCUAGCCUAGUUGAAUGAAGGAUUCACAUAUUUUAUUUCCUUCCGCAUUCGACUUCUUUAUCUUCACAAAAAUUUUAGAGUUAGAAUUAGGGGAGAGUUAGCUAUUCUAUCAAAGGAAGGAGUUUUCAUCCUUAGCUAGGUUUUUGCGCAAGUUUAAGGUAUGUGAUCCUAUGAUAUGAAUUGUGUUCUUGUGAUAUGUUCCUAUAAUAUGAUUUGGGAUGUGAUUGGUGGAUAUUGUUAACAGAGUGAGAUAUGUUCCAAAAUUCUUGCGCAAGUGUGUCGCUUUACCCUAAGAUGACACGUAGUGUAUUUUGGCCUUUGCGGAUUUGAUGGUGGAAUAAGGGGGGCAGUGAGGGUCUCACAUAGAAAGAGUAUGUCUGGAAGGCUGUGAUCCUUGGCGGGACCGUGAUGUUACGGCACGAGUAUAUGACUCAAGGCGUAGGCAUCUUUGGUAUUGAUCCGAUGUAGAACCGCGGUGGGGUCUGAAUAGCCUUGUGUCCAUUGCUUAGUGGUUGGAUGGGAACAGCGCUCUACAGAGAGUUGCUUAAAACUAUUGACUUGCUGAUAGCUAACAUGAUUAAUUACUAUCUUUAAAUGUGUUGGUUGUCCUGUACUCAUUUAUUUAAUUAUGUUCGUUAUUAUUCUGUUAAAUACUAUGCAUAUAAUUAUAUUAUUAAGAUGGGUUGAUUAUCGUGUUGUAAAA